UACAGAAGAAUGCCCUUCAAAUUCUCAUCCAAAGAACCAACAAAGAGUUGCAUCUCUCUUAAAACAAAUUCAACUAAUCAAAACAUGAAGUUCAUUGUCCUAAUUUCUGUAAUCUUAACGGGCCUUUUGUUCUCCGGUAUAGUUUUUGUAGGUGCAGCGCCAACUUACAAGUGUAAGCAGGAAAUGACAGGAAUUUUCAGAGGACCAUGUAAGCCGCACUGUCAAAAUUUUUGUGCUCAAUACUACAAAGGCAUUGGAGAAUGUGAUGAGCUACACAAAUGUGUUUGUACUUAUAAUAGUCCUAUUCAGUGUGAUAGAUAACUCAAGUAUGAUUAUCAUGAUCAAUAAGUUUAAGCGACUGAUUAACGAAGCUCAUAAAUAAAAUUAUAUAAAAGUUACUUAUCA